UACGUAGGGGCCGAGCGUUGUCCGGAAUCACUGGGCGUAAAGGGCGCGUAGGCGGGAUGGCAAGUCGGUCGUGAAAUCCUUCGGCUCAACCGAAGAACGUCGGCCGAUACUGCCGUUCUUGAGGGAUGCAGAGGAGAUUGGAAUUCCCGGUGUAGCGGUGAAAUGUGUAGAGAUCGGGAGGAACACCGGUGGCGAAGGCGGCGACCUGGUCCUAUACUGACACUCAUACACGAAAGCGUGGGGAUCAAACAGG
rnacentral:rRNA from 1 species